GUGUGUAAGGUUGAAAAAGUCAUAAGUUCAUCCAGUUUAGUGUUUUUUCCUGCAAUGAUUAUCCAGGGGAAAAAAACCAAAACAAAAGUAAGGUAGAAGCCAGUCUUCCUCACUUUCGAGUAAUAAGAAUCUCCUUCCUGACUCCAAAUCUGGCAACUACAAUAAAUCCACGGAUCAAAGACCCUUCUCUAGAAUCUGGUCACGCCAGAUGCGGAUCAAGUAGGCACCCCAGUUAAUCCAGCGUCAACACCUGAUAUGGAGGAAGAAGUUACUCUGAAAUAGCGGGGUCAUUAGCUGUGGACUCUUUAGCCACAAGUACCAGGAGGGCAUACUCAGCCGCUAUGAAGUUAUAUCAUUCUUUCCUGUCUAAACACGACCCUCUAUACUUUCAGCACAUGUGGUGAAAGCAUCUCUCAAAAGGUAUUAAUUUCCAUAGAGCUCUGCCAGUUUCAGCUCGGCUACCAAUCACAGGAAAGAUGUUCAGGGCAAUGUCAACACCCCUAGACUCCUCACCUUUUGGUGCACAUCGUAGCCGGGUUAUCAAAGUCUUUAA